ACAUUUUCUAUUUACUCUGGCAUCUCCCAAGGUCAUGUACAUCUAGGAGGUGGAGGGGGCAAGAAGGCAGCAAAAGUGGACUCUCAGUUGGAGCUGAGAAGAUGUUAUUUAACCUGGCUAAAAACUAGGAAUGAGUCAUAGGAACCUUGGACCUGUGCUUGGGUGAGGAGCAGUUGGGGAGGAUUCUUCAAUGUACACACUUCAUAUGUUAAGAGUUGUGAGCUACACGAAUAUAUUAUCAUCUUCAAAGGAAGAAAACAUAAGUAGAUUUUUUUUCUAUCAAAGGACUCCUUUACAGACCCAGAUUCCAUUCUGUGUGUUUAAGGACCCACAUGUUAAGUACCCCGGCCCUCAAAAACUCCCAAGAAGUAUUGCAAUGAAACAGAAGUAUAAUGAGAUAUAUAUUCUCUACACAAAAGGACUGCCAGUUAAGCAAUUGGCCAGUCUACCGGCACCAGCCAUCUGGAACACUCCAUGGAUGCCCUGUACUUUUUGCUAUCCAGUCUUUGAUGAACUCGAGUUGAUCCUGCAACUAUUUCCACCCAGGGGAGCAUUCCACCCACUGGCGGCCUAGUGGUAGGAUGGUUGUUGCUGAUACAAAAAGGACUACUGUGCAGUUGGUGCAACCACAAACCUUCUUAAGUAUGAGUGAUUUUCUGUGCUUGGUGCAAACACCUCUUCUUUGGCUAUGUAAGCAGGUUUGCUGGCUCAUUUUGUAAGCUGUCUAUGAGACAGUGUCCUGUGUACUGCCCCUGGCUUCUCUAAAGAGGUCUUUACUGGCUGUUCUAAUUUGCUUCCUAUUGCUGGGAUAAACACCAUGUCCAAAAGCAAUGUGGGAAAGAAAGGGUUUAUUUGAUCCUACAUUCUGUCAUGGAAGGGAAGUCAGGAACUCACCAUGUGCAGGAACUCAGCACAGGAACCUAGAGGCAGGAACUUAAGCAGAGUCCAUGGAGGCACUCUGCUUGCUGGCUUGUUCCCCAUAGCUCACACAGAUUGUUCUUUUACAUAACCCAGGACCACCUGCCCAGAAAUGGUACUGACUGCAGUGGACUCAGUGGUACUGACUGCAGUGGACUGGGCUCUCCCCGCAUCAGUCAUUAAGAAAGAAAGCAACCCAGGCAAUCAGAUGGAAGUGUUUUUUCUUAAUGGAGGUUCCCUCUUCCCAGAUAACUCUAGGCUGUAACAAAGUAACAAGAAUAAAUAAAUAAAUAAAUAAAACUAAAGAACAUGUCUGCCUAUUUGGAGUAGGGUAGACUGGGCUGGAAUAAUCCCCCCCCACUCCCCCAGCCCCCACCCCCGAGAAAGCACAGAGAGAACAGGAUGACAACAAUAAAAUAACACUAGGGGUGGCCAUAGGGGAAGAACCAGCAAGCUGAGUGGCCAGAGGGCUGUAGAGGGCAUUGGCAAUUACAAAAGAGGCAGAGCCACAGGCCUUGGGGGUGGGCUUGGCAGCAGCAGUAGCAGCAACCAUCCUGUCAAAUACCUAGAGACACACAAACUGCCAAGGAGCAGUUCUUGAAGAGCUUCUCCUUGCUUACCCACCAUUUCUAUUGGAGUACAGCAGCAGGGGCCCAGCCAGCUGACUGGUAACAAAAGUGCGAGACUGCAUUCUGUUUUUAUUUAAAAUGAUUUGGUAUUUCAUUCACUAUGAAGUUUUGUAUUUUAAAAAAUACAGCAUUUUAAUGUUAUUUAUCUUGAUAAAGGUUAUUUGUAAAAUUGCCUUAAAAUUUUCAGAUCGUGUCUCAACCAUCUAAUAUAAAUGCUUGAAUAUAUAUGUAUGUAUAUAAAUAUAUAUAUAUAUAUUAAAUCACAUG